GAUGAACGCUGGCGGCGUGCCUAAUACAUGCAAGUCGAGCGAAUGGAUUAAGAGCUUGCUCUUAUGAAGUUAGCGGCGGACGGGUGAGUAACACGUGGGUAACCUGCCCAUAAGACUGGGAUAACUCCGGGAAACCGGGGCUAAUACCGGAUAACAUUUUGAACCGCAUGGUUCGAAAUUGAGAGGCGGCUUCGGCUGUCACUUAUGGAUGGACCCGCGUCGCAUUAGCUAGUUGGUGGGGUAACGGCUCACCAAGGCAACGAUGCGUAGCCGACCGGAGAGGGUGAUCGGCCACACUGGGACUGAGACACGGCCCAGACUCCUACGGGAGGCAGCAGUAGGGAAUCUUCCGCAAUGGACGAAAGUCUGACGGAGCAACGCCGCGUGAGUGAUGGAGGCUUUCGGGUCGUAAAACUCUGUUGUUAGGGAAGAACAAGUGCUAGUUGAAUAAGCUGGCACCUUGACGGUACCUAACCAGAAAGCCACGGCUAACUACGUGCCAGCCGCCGCGGUAA
rnacentral:rRNA from 1 species